ACUUCUCAGCUUUCUCUGCGUUUCAGUUAGAAUAUUUUAUUUUCUUACCAGCCAAACACCAAGCACCGAAAAAAAGAAGACAGAAAAUUUUGUUAUAAGGCGCCAACGGUGUUUCGAAUUUUCGAUCUCUGGGUUGAUUUUUCAACACCCUUUUGACUCCUGAAGUGAUUGAAAACUUGAUUAAGGUUCCAAUAUAAACAACUUAGUUUGUUUUUCUCCUUCUCAUUGCCUUCCGCCGCUUUCGUGAGCCAUGGUGACAUUGGCAGAAGCACAAUAGAGGAUGUGAAAUAAAAGGCAGGGAAGAAGUUUGAGAAUUAUGUAAAAUAAGCAAUUUCACUCCAAUCGAGCAAGAUGAGCCAACAGAGUCAAGGGACAGGUUCUCCAGUAGAGCCUGAUGGACCUAGGCAUACACAAGAGGGGGGGUGAAUUGUGUCCCCAAAUUCCAAGUUAGGAAUCCCCUUUAAAAAUUCAAUCAAAUUAAUCUCAAUUUAACAAAUAGCACACAAUUUGGACUAUAAUAAUUAUCCUAAUCAAGAUUCAAUCCAAUGCACAAUGUGAUGCAAUAUUUUGAAUGAUUGAAUAUCAAAUAAUCAAGAAUUCCAAAAACCAGAUUUUUUUUUUUUUAUUUUUUUUUUUUAAAUAACACCUUGCGCACAGAUUUUGCAACACAGAUUUCACUUAUCAAACGAUGUCGAAAUGCAACGAAAUUUUAUGUGAAAUAUCACAACACCUUGAUAAAUACUAUAU